GGGUGUCCUCCCUCUUCGCACACGGAAGUGAUUUAACCGGUGUGCUCGAGAAGUGCUCCAAACUCGAUCGAACGUCCGUUUGCUGCAAGCGACGUUAUUGGGCGCCACGAACCUCCGCAGCCGUCGCCGCCGCCGCCGCCGCCGCCGCCACCACCGCCACCACCGCCGCCACCACCGCCACAGCCAUCGCCACCGUGGGACGCCGCCUGGAAAUCGAUGGUCCCGUCGCCCUACGUGGAACUCGUUCGCGCGAACUCGCCGGUGGUGGAUCGAAUGGAACGGAAGCGCCACCGGCGUGAAUAACGACGAAAGACCGGUCGCAGAAAUCGCUUCCCGAGAUCCGACACAAGUAUCGCUGCAUUUAAUUGGUAAUUUCUUCUGCUUAUUAAUUCACAAAUGAUGAAACGAAAUCUCAUCUACCAACACAAAGCUUCGAAAUAUAUAUGAUAUUCAACCAGCGCGCGCAAUAGGUAUUAAUUAGUAGUAUAUUAAUUAUUAUGUGUGCGAAUACGUUUAAUUCUUCAUAUACAUAUAUAUAUAUAUAUAUAUAUAUAUAUAUAAUUUCUCUGUGAUAGCUGCGCUUCUAAACUAAUCGCUCGACUAAAUUUUAAUAGACGAUAUGCUUCGGAAGUAUGCACCUUGAUCUUUAAAAUUUUAUGCAAUCUUUUUUUGGAUAAUUUCGAUGAAUGAUAUUGGAACCACUUUAACAACACUUUAAGAUUAUAUAGCAGAAUAACAAACAUGUAUAAUCAUUCUGUGUUUUGAUUAAUAAAAAAAAAUUAAUAUUAUGUCUAUGAUUUUCAAGAAAGAAGAAAUAUUUAAAAUACAAUCACGAUCUUCACAUUAGAUUAACACAAUUCUGCAUCGGAUAUUCGACGAUUAGAUGCUUCUUGUAAUGAGAUAUAGUUAGACAGCAAUUCUCAUUCUGUAAUUUUACGCUCUAUUGCUCUAUACAAUUAAUUAAAGGAGAAAUUUGAAUAUACUGUUCUUGAAUUUCAAUGAAUUGUUCCAGACUGAUAUAAACUCUUCCGUUAACAGGGAGACGAGUUUUACUUCUCCAAAAGUCAUAUACCUUUUUUAACUCAAUAUAUAAAAAUUAUAUAAAGUAUUUUUAUAAUAAAAAUAAACAUUUGUAGAAACAUAAUAUUAUAAACUUUUUAUAUCGUAUAGACAUAAAGAUAUUAAUAUAUAAGUUGAUAAUAAUAACUUUUUAACUCAUAUCUCAUUCAAACGUACAUAUUAACCUUCGUAGGCAAUCUAGAUCUUCUUUAGCAAUUUCAUACCAAAUUUCAUUACUCAAAUUUCAAUUUUUAUUAAAUAAAAAUUUUAACAUUUGAGUUAAAUAACUAUUUGCAGGAAAAAUGUUGAAUAAUAAUUAUGAAUUUUUUUAGAUGUUUUCAAACUCCUAAAACAGCAAAAAGAAUUCGUCUGAACAAAAAUAUCCAGACUCUGUGGAGUAAAAAUAUGAGAUUGCCUACGCGUGGAGGUUUAAUAUUUUAAAUUUAUUUCUAACUGCUUACUGUACUUGAUUGAUUUUGUAAUGCAAAUCAUUAUCUGGGCGUGUUUUCUACAUCUUAGCUAGUUUCCGUACUAUGAAUGUGUGCGUCGUAACUUGUUUCUAUUGUAGAAUCGAAUUUCGAAAUCUUCGAGUGAAAGUAUGGACUUUGGAUCAAUAAAAUAAAUUUGCUCUGACGUGACUUUUAUUUCUCUUUCAUACUGGAGUAUAAAAAAAUACUCCAAGUAACCUAUUCACAC